rnacentral:rRNA from 1 species
AACGAACGCUGGCGGCAUGCCUAACACAUGCCAGUCGAACGAGACCUUCGGGUCUAGUGGCGCACGGGUGCGUAACGCGUGGGAACCUGCCCUUAGGUUCGGAAUAACUCCCUGAAAGGGGUGCUAAUACCGGAUAAUGUCUUCGGACCAAAGAUUUAUCGCCUUUGGAUGGGCCCGCGUUGGAUUAGCUAGUUGGUAGGGUAAAAGCCUACCAAGGCGACGAUCCAUAGCUGGUCUGAGAGGAUGAUCAGCCACACUGGGACUGAGACACGGCCCAGACUCCUACGGGAGGCAGCAGUGGGGAAUAUUGGACAAUGGGCGAAAGCCUGAUCCAGCAAUGCCGCGUGAGUGAUGAAGGCCUUAGGGUUGUAAAGCUCUUUUACCCGGGAUGAUAAUGACAGUACCGGGAGAAUAAGCUCCGGCUAACUCCGUG